UAUGCUCUUAAUUUCUAUUAGUGAUUUUAUCUGUAAAUCUGCACAUGCAUGCUGUGUGGCAUGUCAAUAAAUGUCGUUGUUAACUUCCAGCCUACUUGUUAAUUCCUGUAAAAAAUCUCUUGGGCAUGAUGGGCAAAGUCACAAUACACUGAACGGGUCAUUGCUCUUGUCAUAGUGACUAUGGGUAAUAUGCUGCUUAAGGAGUGUGGACGUACUUAGCCUGUGUCAUUUAUUUAUUUAUUUAUUUAUUUUCUUAUGUUUAGUGAUUUGCUAAAUAUUGUUGUAGUUGUCUCUAUUAGUAUGUAUGGCUCUUUGGUUCAGUCUAUGCUGCUAGUUGAACAUCUUUAUUAAACUCUCCGUUGAUUUUUACAUUUCCAUUUACUGAGGACUAAGAACCAUUUGGUUGAGUUGUGUAAGCCAUUUAUUUGUGGGGUCUCCCUUUUCAUUAUGCUGGAAUCAAUUUUAACUGGCACUGGAUCCUUAUAAAAUGACAAUCUUUCUUCUGUAAUCCCUGAUCUUUUAGUGCAUUGUAGUACUCUGAGGGUAGAAGGGGAUGACUGGAAGGUUGACAGGAAUGUGCGCAUCUAUAUUCGUGCUUCAACAUCUUUUGCAGUUAGCUUUUGGUUUCCUUGAGUGUUGACUAACUAUACAAGUGCCCGAAGAUUUUUUCUUUUUUUUUUAAUUUUUUAUCCUCUAGUGAGUCGUGCAUAUGACUGUACUACUGACUCAAUGUUUGUGAGCAUAUUGCUGUACUGCAUUGCUUGGGGUUUUGUCUACUGUCACAAAUCUUAGAUGCGCUACCUUUGGCAGAUGAAACAACUUGAUGAAAACCUUCCGUCUCACCUUGAAGAGAUUCUAAAACAAAGUACUUCAUAAGAAAUGGCAGAAAAGUUGGCGAAUGAUAAAAAUUUGUUGCAAUCUGAUAGUCUGAUGAAGGUGACAAUUCCAUUCUACUGCUUAUUGACGUUCAAGUUCAAGAGGCAAAAAAUGCGUGUUUCAUCUUAAUCAAGAUUGUAUAUUUGCCUUCCUAUGUCUUUGGUAUGAACAUGAAUGUUGGUUUUUCAACCUCAUGAACCCAUUCAGGAUAAUCAGAAUAAUGGAGAGAAACAUAAACCUCAGAAGGAACAAUUUGGGGUGCAAAGCUUGAAGACGUUAAAGGAUCAUUGGAAUUAACUAAGCUCUCCAAUCUUCCGUGGGUUGAAAACAAGGGACAGAAGGUCAUAUCGGGCAAUGAUGACUUGCCAAGGAGGGAUGAUAUCGGAGAAAGGUGGAGAAAACAUGAGAUUCAAGUAUUGGCUGGAGCUGGAGUUAAGUCAGGAUGAUCUCGGUGACGAAGAUGGGAAUCUUGAGGCUAAUGGAGGUGCUGACUCUGAGGACAGUGAAUCUAAAGAGUCAGCAGAUGAGUUUUAUAAGCAGGUGAAGCAGCAACGAGCUGCAAAACUUGCCACUAAAGCAGAGAGAUAUAUUCAAGCUUUGAUUCGCCUACAGGGAUUUGGCAAUUCCAUCCUUGCCUGAAACAGUCGAUGGAAAGCGCCAUGUCACUUACCAGAGGGCUGACGCGUAAUCGGAAGAAACAAAUGAAAAGUCCAAGGAAGAAGUAUCGGAGUAAGCACGAGAAGGCAGCGGUCCGAUGAAAAGGGUGAGUUCGGGAGAUCAGGAAGCCUUCCAUACCUUAUGGUGGAGAAGCAUCUGGUAUUAAUGCAGGAAUCAAUUGAAGCAUUAGGUUCAAGAGCUAAAUGCUACUUUGCGUGGAAAUCUGUCAUGCGGACCUUGGAUCAACCCGCCAGUGACUUGGGCGACAGGAGUAUAAGUACAUAGUCGAGUUUCUACGGUUGCACAAGCAUCGGUUGGUGUCUUCCGGGGAUGUAAGGGGCCGACUUAGGAACCCUAGAAGAUACGUAUUGCCCAUCAGUGGCAGGCCAUUUUUGUUAAUAUCGGAAGACUGGAGUUUUGCUAGGAGUUGAGAUUGCUUUCCAUGUUGAAGGCCUUGUAUUAUUAGCGAGAAAUCUUGUCAGAAUUUGGUUAAUAAAGAUUGUAAGAUAUUUUUUUCAUUUA